GACGUAGGGCGCGAGCGUUGUCCGGAUUUAUUGGGCGUAAAGAGCUCGUAGGCGGCUUGUCGCGUCGACUGUGAAAACCCGCGGCUCAACUGCGGGCCUGCAGCCGAUACGGGCAGGCUAGAGUUCGGUAGGGGAGACUGGAAUUCCCGGUGUAGCGGUGAAAUGCGCAGAUAUCGGGAAGAACACCCGUGGCGAAGGCGGCUCUCUGGGACGGUACUGACGCUGAGACGCGAAAGCGUGGGGAGCGAACAGG
rnacentral:rRNA from 1 species